UACGUAGGGUGCAAGCGUUGUCCGGAAUUAUUGGGCGUAAAGAGCUCGUAGGCGGUCUGUUGCGUCGGCUGUGAAACCCGGGCUCAACUCCGGGCCUGCAGCCGAUACGGGCAGACUAGAGUUCGGCAGGGGAGGACUGGAAUUCCUGGUGUAGCGGUGAAAUGCGCAGAUAUCAGGAGGAACACCGGUGGCGAAGGCGGGUCUCUGGGCCGAUACUG
rnacentral:rRNA from 1 species